CAGCAGCCGCGGGAAUACGGAGGGUGCAAGCGUUAAUCGGAAUUACUGGGCGUAAAGCGCACGCAGGCGGUCUGACAAGUCAGAUGUGAAAUCCCCGGGCUUAACCUGGGAACUGCAUUUGAAACUGUCAGGCUGGAGUCUUGUAGAGGGGGGUGGAAUUCCAGGUGUAGCGGUGAAAUGCGUAGAGAUCUGGAGGAAUACCGGUGGCGAAGGCGGCCCCCUGGACAAAGACUGACGCUUAGGUGCGAAAGCGUGGGGAGCAAACAGGAUUAGAUACCCCGGUAGUCCCUGUCUCUUAUAC
rnacentral:rRNA from 1 species